CCUACGGGAGGCUGCAGUCGAGAAUCAUUCACAAUGGGGGAAACCCUGAUGGUGCGACGCCGCGUGGGGGAAUGAAGGUCUUCGGAUUGUAAACCCCUGUCAUGUGGGAGCAAAGUAAAAAGAUAGUACCACAAGAGGAAGAGACGGCUAACUCUGUGCCAGCAGCCGCGGUAAUACAGAGGUCUCAAGCGUUGUUCGGAAUCACUGGGCGUAAAGCGUGCGUAGGCUGUUUCGUAAGUCGUGUGUGAAAGGUGCGGGCUCAACCCGCGGACGGCACAUGAUACUGCGAGACUAGAGUAAUGGAGGGGGAACCGGAAUUCUCGGUGUAGCAGUGAAAUGCGUAGAUAUCGAGAGGAACACUCGUGGCGAAGGCGGGUUCCUGGACAUUAACUGACGCUGAGGCACGAAGGCCAGGGGAGCGAAAGGGAUUAGAUACCCGAGUAGUC
rnacentral:rRNA from 1 species